GACGAACGCUGGCGGCGUGCUUAACACAUGCAAGUCGAACGGAAAGGCCCUGCUUUUGUGGGGUGCUCGAGUGGCGAACGGGUGAGUAACACGUGAGUAACCUGCCCUUGACUUUGGGAUAACUUCAGGAAACUGGGGCUAAUACCGGAUAGGAGCUCCUGCUGCAUGGUGGGGGUUGGAAAGUUUCGGCGUUUGGGGAUGGAUUCGCGGCUUAUCAGCUUGUUGGUGGGGUAGUGGCUUACCAAGGCUUUGACGGGUAGCCGGCCUGGGAGGGUGACCGGGCACCUAGGGACUGAGAUAGGGACCAGACGCCAACGGGAGGCAACAGUGGGGAAUAUUGCGCAAUGGGGGGAAGCCUGAUGCAGAAGCGCCGCGUGCGGGAUACCCGCUUUCGGGUUAUAAACCGCUUUCGCCUGUGACGAAGCGUGAGUGACGGUAAUGGGUAAAAAAGCACCGGCUAACUACGUG
rnacentral:rRNA from 1 species